GUUAAUCAGUCCAUCCCUUGCCAAUCGACCCUGACUCUCUCUCUAGCCGUGAACCCCUCUCUCCAGCCGCGGUCUCCACCGUUCAGCACCACCGCCACUGCCACACCCCCGACGAAAAUCCCGCACUCCUUCGAUUGUGGUCUCAGAUCCUCCUGCUCCUCUCAAUCAAACCCCCCGACGAAAACCCCUCUCCUCCGACUUUGCAUCUCCAGCGUCUCUCUCUCGCUCGCUCUUGCUAGGAGAAUGGGCGCAUAAUCUGGAGUUCUCUCUCUCUCUCUCUCCAACGCCCAACACAGCUCUCUAUCUCUGUCUCCCCAACGCCGUCCUUGUUGUAGCCGUGUUCUCUCCUCAAACUACAACAGAAAUCGGAGCCCAGUCUUCGUUAUUCAAGGCUGAGGUCGCUCUGCUUCUCCUCAACAGGUUUAAGGUCUUGACAAUUGAAAGUAUUCGGAUCUCGCACAGCUCAGUUCUCACUAGGUUAUAAGUAAUGGACAAGAGUUGGAUGAUGAUAAGAAGAAAUAGGUUGGCAAGUAGAGAGUAUAACCUAGGGGUGAAAUCUUUCCUACAAUUUGCGAUGGCGAAUUUAGGACCACAGCUUGAGAUUCGGUGUCCAUGUAGUGAUUGUCUAAAUGGCAGAAAACAUAGCUUUGCAGUUGUUAAGAUCCAUUUGAUACGGAAAGGAUUUGACUCUUCUUACAAGACUUGGGUGCACCAUG